rnacentral:rRNA from 1 species
CUUUGGGAUAACCCUCGGAAACGGGGGCUAAUACCGGAUAUGACCUGCUGCCGCAUGGUGGUGGGUGGAAAGUUUUUUCGGCUGGGGAUGGGCUCGCGGCCUAUCAGCUUGUUGGUGGGGUGAUGGCCUACCAAGGCGAUGACGGGUAGCCGGCCUGAGAGGGCGACCGGCCACACUGGGACUGAGACACGGCCCAGACUCCUACGGGAGGCAGCAGUGGGGAAUAUUGCACAAUGGGCGGAAGCCUGAUGCAGCGACGCCGCGUGAGGGAUGACGGCCUUCGGGUUGUAACCCUCUUUCAGCCCUGACGAAGCGUGAGUGACGGUAGGGGCAGAAGAAGCGCAGGCCAACUACGUGCCAGCAGCCGCGGUAAGACGUAGGGCGCAAGCGUUGUCCGGAUUUAUUGGGCGUAAAGAGCUCGUAGGCGGUCUGUCGCGUCGUCCGUGAAAACCUGUGGCUUAACUACAGGCUUGCGGUCGAUACGGGCAGGCUAGAGUGCGGUAGGGGAGACUGGAAUUCCUGGUGUAGCGGUGAAAUGCGCAGAUAUCAGGAGGAACACCGGUGGCGAAGGCGGGUCUCUGGGCCGCUACUGACGCUGAGGAGCGAAAGCGUGGGGAGCGAACAGGAUUAGAUACCCUGGUAGUCCACGCUGUAAACGUUGGGCGC